CAAAUUAGAGCUUGAAAAGUAUUCCAUUUACAUUGGAAAGAUAUUAAAAUUUAAUUAAUUUGA
rnacentral:tRNA from 1 species